ensembl:lncRNA
UUGCAAGACCAAACUCAAUCGUAGAUUGCACGUUGGACUGGGGAAGCUGCUGUCAUUUUCUUCAGCACAAGAGGCUUUUCCACGGCCUGGUUCAACUGACUCUGUACGCGAUUGGCUGCUUGUCGUUGCUGCCCUGUCGUCAUUGUGUUAAACCAGCCAAUAGCGCGCCAGGAGGAAAAGCCAGCUUGGUGACUGGCUCCUGCAAAAAUGUUUUGAAAAGAAAGAAAUGUAUUACUCUUCUCCAGACCCUUCUGCAGGGCCAACUCAAAUUGCCGGCAGAAUGGCCAGGGCUACCCAGUCUAGGCGAGUGUAGGACUCUGAGAGACGGUCUCUCUACAGGUGAGGACUCUGAGUCACAGUCUCUCUACAGGUGAGGACUCUGAGUCACAAUCUCUCUACAGGUGGGUGUAGGACUCUGAGAGACGGUCUCUCUACAGGUGAGGACUCUGAGUCACGGUCUCUCUACAGUGAGUGUAGGACUGAGUCAUGGUCUCUCUACAGAUGAGGACUCUGGGUCACGGUAUCUCCACAGGUGAGGACUCUCAGGGGGAGUGCGAUGGAAACUUGUUAUGCGUAAUGCUUGUUUACUGUGGGAAAUGAUUCAAGAGGGAGGACCAGGAGAGUGAUGACGGAGGGACAUGGGGUCGGGACCCGGGCCGGGUCGCUUCCCCGUC